rnacentral:rRNA from 1 species
AACCGUGGGAAAUCUAGAGCUAAUACAUGCAAUUAAGGGUGUGGGCGACCACAUUCGAUGGCAUUUAUUAGAUAAUGACCAACCGUAAGCGUGAGUUUACGUGGUGAAUCUAGAUAACUGUGCAGAUCGUAUGGCCUUGAGCUGACGACAUUUCGAUUGAAUUUCUGCCCUAUCAACUUUUGUCGGUAGUGUAGUGGACUACCGAGGUUUUUACGGGUGACGGGGGAUCAGGGUUCGAUUCCGGAGAGGGAGCCUGAGAAACGGCUACCACAUCCAAGGAAGGCAGCAGGCGCGCAAAUUACCCAAUCCAGACAAUGGGAGGUGGUGACGAAAAGUACCGGAUGACGAUUUAUGAUUGUCAAUCUGGAAUGGAGCCAAUUUAAGCAAUUGGCUGAGAAACUACUGGAGGGCAAGUCUGGUGCCAGCAGCCGCGGUAACUCCAGCUCCAGUAGCGUAUCUCAAAGUUGCUGCGCUUAAAACGCUCGUAGUUGGAUCACAAACUAUUCAUCGGUGGGUUAUGAAGUCUACGUCAAAACCAGAAAAUCCCCUGUGUGUCAUCGCAUGGGGGAGGAUUUGGGUGGCGGAGCUUCGUGCCGUAAGCCGGUGGAUAGUAAUUGCACGUGAGGAUAGGCACUGACCUUGAGUGUGUUGGUGUUUGUGUCUCACGGAGUGUGCCUUGAGUAAAUCAGAGUGCUUAAAGCAGGCUUUACGCUUGAAUGUUAUAGCAUGGAACGAACAAUCGUGUAUGGUGUAUGCUGGCAAUGAUUUGUUAAACGUAGUUUGACGUCAUCAGCAUACGACACCGACCACCAAUUACGGAUGUUGGUUUCGUAUUGGGGUAUUGAUUAAGAGGAGCGGUUGGGGGCAUUGGUAUUUGGCAGCGAGAGGUGAAAUUCUUGGACCUGCCAACGACUAACAAAUGCGAAGGCAUCUGUCCAGACCGUAUCCAUUAAUCAAGAACGAUAGUGAAAGGUUCGAAGACGAUCAGAUACCGUCGUAGUUUUCACUGUAAACUAUGCCGACCCGGGAUUAGUUUGGAGCUAUGUUCCAUGCUCGGAGUUGGUCCCCCUGGGAAACCUUAAGUUUUUCGGUUGCGGGGGGAGUAUGGUCGCAAGGCUGAAACUUAAAGGAAUUGACGGAAGGGCACCACCAGGGGUGGAGCCUGCGGCUUAAUUUGACUCAACACGGGACAACUUACCUGGUCCGAACAUCCGAAGGAUACACAGACUGAUAGAUCUUUGUUGAUGGGGUGAAGAGUGGUGCAUGGCCGUUCUUAGUUCGUGGAGUGAUUUGUCUUGAUUAAUUUCGAUAACGAGCGAGACUACAUUCUCCACUUGACAAACCAGGGAAGGGCGUAUUUGCAGUUUGUUGGCAACAAUGAACAGGCAAUGUACGCCUGCAGGCAACAUUGGGGAGUUGUUGUGAAGCUAAGCUUGCUUGGUGUAGCAGCAGCUAACUGGUGUUCCCUCUGGUCAUGCAAUAUAUUGUCUAUGGCAGUGUAUUGUAUCGUGGAGAGACAGCGGAAUAUAUUACAAAAUCCGAGGAAGUGUAGCUAUAACAGGUCCGUGAUGCCCUCAGAUGUUCAGGGCUGCACGCGCGCUACAAUGAUAUUAGCAACGAGUUUCUAAAUCGAAAGAUUUGGGUAAUCUUGCAAUUAAUAUCGUGAUGGGGAUCGACGUUUGUAAAUACGUCGUGAAAGAGGAAUCCCUAGUACGUGCG